rnacentral:sRNA from 1 species
GCCGGGCGUGGUGGCACACGCCUGUAAUCCCAGCUACUUGGGAAGCUGAGGCAGGAGAAUCGCUUGAACCCAGGAGGCAGAGGUUGCAGUGAGCAUAGAUCACACCACUGCACGGCAGCCUGGGUGACAGAGCGAGACCCUGUCUCAA